rnacentral:lncRNA from 10 species
GGUGAGGGUGCGGGACCCACCCACGAGCUUCACCCCUCGGACCGGCUUCCCGUGCAGCUCGCCCUCACAGUAAAAGAUGUAGUGGUCCUUCACGUGCGACCUGAUGAUGUAUGCCACGUGCUUGCCCCCGUCUGCAGAAAGACAGCAGCACAUUCCUGAAUUAGCCACCAGGGACUUCAGAGAGGAUCCCGGGACAGCGUGCGUUGCCAGGCCCAGCAAGCCCCGCAGCUCCUGCACCCUCCCAGCCUCCCAGAGCUCCCUGACCCAGGUUCCCCACCAGGCCUGAGCCCCAGGCCAUGGGACCCCCACUUCCCAGGAACCUGAUGUACCCAAGAGGCGGCCACAUCCCAAACCACCCCCAGGACCGGAGCACAGGCACUGCAUGCCACUCAGGAGGGAGCCAUGCGGGUGAAAUCACACAGGUGGGAAGUCACAGAUGUGAGCCACGCGGGUGGAAGCAGCCCAGGUGAGAGCCGCACAGUAUAGAUGAAAAGGGCGCCAACAUGAAAACAAUUAAAAGCACAAUCACAAGAAGACGAAUGUUCAUGAAUGUGAAGGCAUACCGCAUCAAAAUGCAGGAAGCCAAAACAGACUGAAGAACAAAGGGGUCAAAUACACAGUCGGAACGGGAGACGCCAGAACUUCUCCAUUAGAAACAGAGGGCGAGGGUGUUAAAAGUUCACAGCAAUGUUGGAGCUUUGGCACCAACAUUGUAAAGUAUACAAAGACACUGCCUCAAAAGCUAAACAAUUAUAUUGUUAUAAUUGUUACAAUGAAAAAUUUUAGUUGCUAAUUCUUAUUAAAUACACAUGGAAUAGUUUUAAAAUAGGCCACAUACCAGGCAAUAUGGGGAACUUCACAGAACUAACGCAGCAGAGCCUGCCCUUUGUAGCUACAAGGCAAUAAACUAGAAUCGACAAUGAAGAGACUGUUACAUAAAGAGAAAUAUAAACUUCAAGUUUACAGCCUUAAACGCAUCUAUAAUACAAUAAAGAUGUCAGGACAGAAGUCCUCUCUCUGUGAAAAGUUCUCGGUCAUGAGCACGCACGUAUGCCCCCGGCCAGCUCUGCGCUCCUUCGUCAGGACAGAAGUCCUCUCUCUCUGUGUGAAAAGUUCUUGGUCAUGAACAGGCAUUUAUGCCCCGGCCAGCUCUGUGGUCCUUCGUCAGGACACAAGUCUUCUCUCUCUGUGUGAAAAGUUCUCGGUCAUGAACAUGCACGAAUGCCCGGCCAGCUCUGCGCUCCUUCGUCAAGACGGAAGUCCUCUCUGUGUGAAAAGUUCUCGGUCAUGAACACGCACGAAUGCCCCGGCCAGCUCUGCAGUCCUUUGGUGGUCACCUCGCAAAGGAGAAUUGAUCGGAGCUGCUGCUUACGGGGCAGAUGCCCGUGGCAGCAUCACCACAUGCACAUCGUGACGGCGGCCGCGUGUGUCACGCAGCCCCCAACUGAUGAUGAGAAACCAACCUGAACCUCACGUCAGCGGGAAGGCUGAGUUACCUUUCCAUUCUAUUUAUGAAAAAUUAUUUUCAUAGGAAGCAGUAAUCAAGGGGUAGCAGCCAAGAGAUAUAGAAAAAAUAAGUUUGAUAGAGGUAUGCCUGGGAGUAACUAAUCAAAUUUUUUUUCUUCCAUUUGGUGAUGUUUAUUGCACCUAUCAGCUUUUUCAUGUGCGAG